rnacentral:rRNA from 1 species
UACGUAGGGGGCAAGCGUUGUCCGGAAUUAUUGGGCGUAAAGAGCUCGUAGGCGGCUUGUCGCGUCGUCCGUGAAAACCUGCAGCUCAACUGCAGGCUUGCGGUCGAUACGGGCAGGCUAGAGUUCGGUAGGGGAGACUGGAAUUCCUGGUGUAGCGGUGAAAUGCGCAGAUAUCAGGAGGAACACCGGUGGCGAAGGCGGGUCUCUGGGCCGAUACUGACGCUGAGGAGCGAAAGCGUGGGGAGCGAACAGG